ACUAAAUAAAAAAAUCGGCCCAUCACUUGGCCCAAACUCAAAUCCACUCCCCAAUCCCUAGCCUUUCUUUCUUCCCUGCGCCUCUCACGCACACACACAUAGCUUCAGCCCUCACUCUCCCUCUCUGCCUCUCGGCUCUCUCUUCACCUCUCUCACUCAGCCAUCAGUCCCGCCGCCGCGGCUUCUUCCGGCGAGACAGCCGUCGACCCGCCUCCUUCCUUGGCAACGUCGAUAGGUAUCGCCGCCGUCUCCCUCCAUCUCUCUCUCUCUCUCAAAGCUCCGCCGCUGCGGAAGCUCGCCGGGGAGCAGCUGCGAUAAGCCGUCGUCACCCACUGCUCUUCCCUCUCCGUCCGUUUCCGGCGACAGCAACGACAAAAGCCGCCACCGACCAGUGAAUCCAACUCCUUGACAGACGAACAGUAGCAGCCAUCGGCCACCACAAUCGUCGAUCUCACCAUCUCUGGACCACCGUCGAUCUCUCCGCCGCUGUAACUGGAAGGCCGGGAGAUUCGCCGCCUCUUGCUCCCAUAAAAUCAGUCGCGCCUCCGCGGCCCUGAAAUUUCGGCGAGAUAUCGCCGCCUGGGAGCGGCGCCGUUCAUCUCCUUCGUCCUCAAAAUCUCCCUCCGUCGUCGAGCCCUAAGUUUUAGAAAAGGCAGAACGCCGUUGCCGAGCGUCCGCUGCUGCUGCGCUCGAGACUUCCGCCACUGUCGUCGCCACUGGUCCGACGUGGUUCGUGUGUUGCUGUUUUGGGGAAGCCGCUGCCAUCGUUUCGAUCCACCACCGGCACUGUGCAGUCGGCGAGUAGCGCUGUCGUUGACGACUAGGGCGUCGCUGCCGGCGUCUGCUUGAUUCGUCGCACCGUUGCCGCUGUUCUUGAGGUCCAGCGGCUCGCAGUGCAGCCCAAGUUCUUCUCUUCUAAAGUAAAAUCAUGGAAGAAGAUGGAAAAAAAAUGUAGCCAAAGUUUACCUAGAAGUGGCAGAGCACCGGAUGAAUGAAAGCCAAAUCUCACCUUGGAGUUUCUGGCAGCAUUUUAGACUAAUUACUUCCCUUGGUUUGCUAGUGAUUAAGGGAGUGUUUUGGCUGAACUUGUAGGCUAGGAAGGCAAAGGGGCGAUGGAGUGCACUUGAGUGUUGAGUGGUGGUGUUGUAUGAAUGGGGAGAAAAGCAUGGUGGAGCAAAAAGAAAGUUUGUGUAAUGAUACUGAUGACUUUGUAUGUUAUUAUGAGUUGUGGACAUCAAUGUAUCAAUGUGAUUGGAAUAUUGUAUAUUUACAUAAAUCUCGAUUUCGACAUGUGAUAACUCGCUAAA